UACGAAGGGGGCUAGCGUUGCUCGGAAUCACUGGGCGUAAAGCGCACGUAGGCGGAUUGUUAAGUCGGGGGUGAAAUCCUGGAGCUCAACUCCAGAACUGCCUUCGAUACUGGCGAUCUUGAGUCCGGGAGAGGUGAGUGGAACUCCGAGUGUAGAGGUGAAAUUCGUAGAUAUUCGGAAGAACACCAGUGGCGAAGGCGGCUCACUGGCCCGGUACUGGCGCUGAGGUGCGAAAGCGUGGGGAGCGAACAGG
rnacentral:rRNA from 1 species